rnacentral:misc_RNA from 1 species
GUGGGCAGGUAAUGUUAUUCUUAUAGAAACUAUUCUGAUCUGAUGGACUCUCUAAUGAAAUUCUAGCUAAACAGAAUAGAAACAGCAUAUCGUAAAAGUAUAAUUUACAAGGAGGUUGUUGGGUCUCUUCUUUUUGUUUUUUCCAUUUUUCUGACUUGCUGGUCCAAUUCACUUUGGAUGCUACUUUUUGGCCCAUUUGGUUGGAUUUGUUAGUUCAAUUGAUGGUGUUGCAGUUGCUUUGGAUGAACAUUCCUGGAAAUUUGAGUGUUUGUUUUUCAGUUCAAGAAGAUGAUUAUUUCAUGCAGCGUU